rnacentral:rRNA from 1 species
GACAAACGCUGGCGGGGUGCGUGAGACAUGCAAGUCGAACGAGGAUCCUCCGAGCUUGCUUGGAGGUCUCCUAGUGGCGGACGGCUGAGUAACGCGUAGGUGACCUGCCCGGAAGUGGGGAAUAACUGCCCGAAAGGGUGGCUAAUACCGCAUGUGGUCGGCGCUUCGGUGCAUCGACUAAAGGAGAAAUUCGCUUCCGGAGGGGCCUGCGUCCGAUUAGCUAGUUGGUGGGGUAACGGCUCACCAAGGCGACGAUCGGUAGCUGGUCUGAGAGGAUGAUCAGCCAGACUGGGACUGAGAACGGCCCAGACUCCUACGGGAGGCAGCAGUCGGGAAUUUUGCCCAAUGGACGAAAGUCUGAGGCAGCAACUCCGCGUGAGGGAUGAAGGCUCUCGGGUCGUAAACCUCUUUUCUCAGGGAAGAUCCAAGACGGUACCUGAGGAAUAAGCCACGGCUAACUACGUGCCAGCAGCCGCGGUAAAAC